AGUCCACAUUAAUUGGUCAUAUCAGCCAUGCAGAAAUACCUGGCAAUCUUUGUCAAUAACAAAUGCGUUUUGGCCAUGGCGACAAAUGUGAUUUGCUCUGCACUAACACACCCCUAAAUGCAACAAGGAAGUCUUUCCCAAGCUGCAGUCGUCUACACCGAAUUCAGAGGAAACGAAACUGAAAGUAAAGAGUGGUUUCAGAGGUUCCUAAAGUGUUUGUCGUGCUCAGGAAGAAUGGCAGAGGCGAUUUCAAUUAACCAGGACCUUUUUAUCUGUCCGAUUUGUUUGGAUCUAUUAAAGGAUCCAGUGACUAUUCUCUGUGGGCACAAUUACUGCACGGGCUGCAUCAAGGGCUGCUGGGAUCAGGAAGAUCAGAAGGGAAUUUACAGCUGCCCACAAUGCAGACAGACGUUUACUCCGAGACCCGUUUUAAACAAAAAUAACGUUUUCGCUGAGCUUGUGGAACAACUAAGGAGGACCAGAAUUCAAGAUACUGCUUCCUCUCAGUGUUUUGCUGGACCUGGAGAUGUGGAGUGUGACAGCUGCACCGGGAGAAAACUAAAAGCUGUCAAGUCCUGCCUGGCGUGUUUGUUGUCGUACUGUGAGACUCAUCUCCAGCGCCAUGAUGAACUCUUCUCAGGGAAAAGACACAAUGUGGUUGAAGUCACAGGUCAGCUACAAGACAAGAUCUGCACUCAACACCAGAGGCUUCUGGAGGUAUUUUGUCGCACAGAUCAGAGGUGUGUCUGUUUGCUAUGUCUGGUAGAUGAACACAAAGGCCAUGACACUGUCUCACCUGCAGCUGAGAGAACGGAGAAACAGAAGGAGAUGGAGGAGACCAAGAGGAAACUCCAGCAGAGACUCCAGGAGAGAGAGAAGCAGCUGCUGGAGCUGAGGAAGGCUGUGGAUACUCUCAAGAGCUCUACAAAGACAGCAGUGGAGGACAGUGAGAGAAUCUUCACUGAGAUGAUCCGCUCCAUUGAGAGAAGGCGCUCUGAGGUGACAGAGCUGAUCAGAGCUCAGGAGAAGGCUGAGGUGAGUCAGGCUGAAGGACUCCUGAAGCGACUGGAGCAGGAGAUUGCUGAGCUGAAGAGGAGAGAUGCUGAGCUGGAGCAGCUUUCACACACAGAGGAUCACAUCCAUUUCCUCAAGAAUGUUGUGUCAGUCACUGGUCCUUGCAGAACAGUUUCAACCAGUAUGACAUUCAGUGAAAGUUUCUCUUUUGAAGCUGUGAAGAAAUCUGUUUCCGCAGUGAAGGUGCAGCUCGAUGGCAUCUUCAAGCAGGGAGCAGCCAAGAUAUCUGCAGCAGUGACACAUAUCCAGAUCAUCCAGUCUUUACAAUAUACUGAUCUUGAACUCCCAGUCAGAAGAACAGACAGUAAGGAGAAUAUGCCACCAUCCAGUAAGUGUUUACUGAUUGAUUCUAACAGCCUUUACAUCUAGGGUCUAGCAAAUGUAUGAUAGUUUCACUGAAUCCAUUUGUCUUUCAAACAUUUUGUCAGCCGCCAAACCUUAGAGGCAUGAGUUAGAGUUAAAAAAAUAAGGCCCUUUAUGUAUUAUGGGUAAAAAUGUUGUAAGACUUUUAUGAAGGGUUUAAGAGAAAAAGCUAAUACACUAGAAUCUAUUGACUAGAUCUUUAGAUUUACCCAUAAAAACAAACAAAGGCAGCAGCUGAUGGAGAUCAGAGUUAGACCCAUUACUUCUGCAGUUGUCUUUUGAGAACUGAUUGAUGUGGGUUAGAACUGAAAGUCCUCUAAACAUGCCUUUAUCCUCCUAAUGAAGAUGAGGGACUCUUGAAAGAGAGCAUCUCCAUAUUUACUUGUCAGUGGGAGGUUGGAGGCCUUUAAGAUUUAAAUACAGUAGCUGAGGACUGAGGACUGAGGAGUAGAUAUUCAUUCAAACAGGAGGAAAGUUCAAAUUGGCAUACAAUGUUGAAAUUUAUGUUAACUGCAGCCUUUUCUCCUUUUCUGUUAUAAGUUAUAAGUUAUUACACAUCGUGUUGUUACAGGUCAUGUCGGUCAUAGCUAACAGUGUGAUGAUUCAUUAGGCAAAGUGACUUACCAAUGCUUACUUGUGUUAUUUGUACCCAGAUAGUUUUGGUAAUUCAGUGUGUAAUAUACCAACUUAAUCGACCCAUUUGCUCUGCAGUUUGUUGAUUUGAAUUGAUUCAAAUGGUUACAUUACAUUAAAAUGAAUAGUCAUUUAGCUGGCACUCUUAUCCAGAGAGACUCACCGUGAACUAACUACAGGAACUACUGAAGCAACUUGGGGUUAGGUGUCCUGCUCAGAGGCACAAUGGUCGCAGCCCCUGGGAUCAAACUCACAACCUUUAGGUGUUCCAUUUGGAAGCCCAGAUCCCAAACCACUAGACCAGCAGCCCCCACAUCUGAAGGUCUUCUGAACCUGCUCUUCCCAUCCUGAUGAAGAUCAGUGAUGCUUCAAUGAGUGCAUCUCCAUCUUCACUUUGGUUCAAGUUUGGUUAGUUCUAAUGCAUUUUUUCUUUCUCAGUGUCUGAUGUCCAGGCUGUUUUUACUGAGCCAGUAACCAGAGAGGAGUUCUUAAAGUACUCCUGUCACUUCACACUGGAUCCAAACACAGCACACAGACACCUCCAUCUGUCUGAGGGCAACAGGAGGGUGGAGAGCAGAGAUGAGCUCCAGUCAUAUCCUGAUCAUCCAGAGAGAUUUGAUGAGUGGUAUCAGGUGCUGUGUAGAGAGGGUGUGUCUGGACGCUGCUACUGGGAGGUGGAGAGGAGUGGGGGGUGGGUUUGUAUAGCAGUCUCAUAUAAAAGCAUCAGCAGGGAAGGACGGGGUAAUGAGUGUGGGUUUGGAUUUAAUGAUCAGUCCUGGAGUCUGGACCUCUUUACCUCCAGCUCCUAUUUCUAGCACAAUAAUAAAGAGACUAAACUCCCUCUAGUGGCCAGCUCCAGAAUAGGAGUGUAUGUGGAUCACAGGGCAGGAACUCUGGCCUUCUACAGCAUCUCUGACACAAUGACCCUCCUGCACAGAGUCCAGGCCACAUUCACUCACACACUCUACCCUGGGUUUAGAUGUUACCAUACUGGAUCAUCAGUGAAGCUGUUGUGAUCCCAGACCAUGUAGGCCCAAUCCCCCACACUCUACCCUGGGUUUUAUAUAGUAUGUACUAGAUCAGUGAAGCUGUUGUGAUUCACACCAUAUACAGCAGGACAGGAAUGUAAAGACCCCAGACACAUAUAGAUAGAUG